AACGCACCUUGCGCUCCCUGGUAUUCCAAGGAGCAUGCCUGUUUGAGUGUCAGUAACAUCUCAAGCCCCCUCCAGGUUUUGUGAACUUGGAUUUGGGACUUGGAUUUGGAGGUUUUUGCAGGCCUUUUGUGAGGUCAGCUCCUCUGAAAUACAUUAGCGGAACCGUUUGUGAUCUGUCCCAGGUGUGAUAAUUAUCUACGCCAGUGGGUCACUCUCUGUCCUGUUCAGCUUCCAACCGUCCGUCCCAUGGACAACAAUUACUGAAUGUUUGACCUCAAAUCAGGUAGGACUACCCGCUGAACUUAA
rnacentral:misc_RNA from 1 species